rnacentral:rRNA from 1 species
UGAUACACGGGGUCAGCGGCGGGUGUAGGACGGAGGUGGCGGGCGCUAAUAGGAAGUGCUGGGGGGAAAGGGGUGGUAGGCGGUGCGGGCAGUCAGCCGGGAAAGCCCCGGGCUCAACCUGGGAACGGCGGUUGAGACGGCCGGACUGGAGUGGGGUAGAGGAUCGUGGAAUUCCGGGUGUAGCGGUGAAAUGCGUAGAGAUCCGGAGGAACACCGAUGGCGAAGGCAGCGGUCUGGGGCCACACUGACGCUGAGGCACGAAAGCGUGGGGAGCAAACAGGAUUAGAUACCCCGGUAGUC